UAUUUAUUACACUAAUUAAACACGAAAUGUAAGCUAUCAGAGUAAACUGCACCACCUGUAGUGUUGAGCUACUGACUGAAUUAAUAAUCAACCGUUAAGAUAAGUUAAUAGGCUACGUUUAAUGAUUUUUAAUACACAGUAAUUUAACGAAACAAAAUGAAUACAGGGCCAGUAACUAUAUUCGGCAUUUUUCUUUAAAAGUUUUCACUCGUUCUAAAGUCUACGUUUUGACAUGUUCUAAAACAAAAUUAUGUUCUUCAACUUUUACAAUCAACGUGUAAUGAUUCCUAGCAGAAUGCGCAUUUUCGUAGGUUUUACAAAAAUGCACAAAAAUCUCAUCGUGUGUAAGAUGUUUGCAUGCAACAUGGGUCAUAUGUUACUAAAACAAUGUUUAGAAGUUAUAUGUGAUUAAAACUUACUAAAAUAAUAUGAAAUUAGCAAAUAAUUUCCACAAUUCUACUGUCCAUGCAAGUAAUACUACUAAAGGUACCUGUGUUGAAACCAAAAUCUAUUGAUUGAUAUACUUUAAAUUGCACAUAUAUGCACUGGCGUAUCUGGGUAGCCAGGGAUUGGGCACAACAGGACCUCUUUUUUCACAAUACCAACUUUUAUAAUACAUGCCACCCCAUAAAAUGUGCAAAAGCAGUGCUCUCUAUCCACUCCACCCCCAAUAAAACAAUCCUGGCUACCCUAAAAUAUAUAUAUAUAUAUAUAUAUAUAUAUGGCUAGUGAAUUGUCACAGAAAAGAUUAGUUUCAUGUAUUUUAUGAUGUUAGAGGGGGUUUAUAUAAUAAAUGCCAAUAUUUUGUCCAUAUCUGGUAGAGCAUGAGCAUACUGGGUAAAUUGUGAAAACGUUGUCAUAACUUUUUAUGAGCAGUAUAUUGAGUUUCUUCAGUGGGAAAUUAAGCUGCAGGUAAAAAGCAUGCAGGCUGUGGGAAAGGUAAAUGUCACCUGUCUGUUCAUCAGUGCAUUUGCCAAGAAGGUUUCCAGCAGGCAAGUUGACUGGGAAAUGGCUCUUAGGAGCUUUUUGGGUUUGAGCGUGAGCCAGAACCACGAGAACCUUUUGGUUUGAGCGUGAGCCAGAACCAUGAGAAGUAUGUAAGCUACGAGAGCUAUGAUAGCUAUGUGAGCUAUAACUGGGUGUGAGGGAUGACACAGAUGUGACCAGCGGGACUGUAGGAGAACCAUCUGCAAGAGAUGUCAACAGCCAACCAUCCAAGAUGUGCUAGUGUCUGGUCGUCAUCAAGAUACGGAUAGUAUUUGCAAUGACAGUGAAUUUCAGAUGAGUUUAUACUGAUACAAACUGAACUGGUUUAAAAUGAUUAUUUAACUAAGGCUCGAACAUUGACUAGAAGCUAGUUGGCUCAGACUGGUUUACCAUGGACACCAGAAUACAGUUUUUUGGGGGGUUUAAUUUAAGGUUGGGGUAGUGAUGUUUGGAGUGAAAUCGUCAUUGUGUAUAUUUAUAUUUUGUAUAUAAAUUUGUUGAAAUGU